UCAAACAGGCAACUGCUACACAAGCAGGACAACAACCCAAUCACCACCACAAAUUUGAGACAAUGCUGAGAGUUGUGGGACAUUUGUUGUGUCUCUUUAUAUGCCGUCGGGGAGCUGAUGGCUUGACAGAGACACUGGUGGAACUUGGACAGAAUACAACCAUAAACUGUUCUCUUAACAUAGAAAGUGCAUACUGGUACAUUCAGCACCAACCACAGCCUCCACAGGCCAUACUCCACUCUUUCACUAGUAGGAGUCCUGCUGCUUUUUAUUACAAUACUACUUUUAGACAGAAAUAUUCAUUAGAAACAGGACAUAGAUUGUUAAUACAUAAUGUAACAGUAGAUGAUUGUGGAGUAUACUACUGUGCAAAGAAAGAAGACCAGAGUCUCCUAUUUAGCAAUGGUACCAGACUCAUGACCGCUGACUAUCCAAACCAGACCUCCAGCUACAGGUCAUCAUGGGAGAACUGUCUUCUGUUCAUUUACAGUGUUCUGAAUGUUAUUCUGAUGGUUAUGAUCCUGGUACAUAUCGUGGCCUUGGCAUGUCAGAACAGAAACUGUCUUUCAAAACUAAGACCACCUCAAGAUGCAGACCAGAGAAAUCAGUGACACAGCUCACAUCACCACCAAGAAGAUUCCAUCCUGAACUUGUAUCAAUAAUUACAAUUGCAGUAUAGUUCAUGCUUCCACAAGCGCAAACUAAAAACUUCUGCAAUGGGUAUAUUCUUAGAAUCACUUCCUGUAGAAUGAUACAAGUCAUGUGACAAUGUUAGUGAACAAUGACUAAAAUACUGUUGUGAAUAUGCCUGUAUCCUAUCACCCCUUUCUACCGCUAGUCAGUAAUGAAUAAAUACGUGUUUCUUUC